UUGACCUCAAAUCAGGUAGGACUACCCGCUGAACUUAAGCAUAUCAAUAAGCGGAGGAAAAGAAACUAACAAGGAUUCCCCUAGUAACUGCGAGUGAAGCGGGAAGAGCUCAAAUUUUGAAUCUGGCAGUCCUUGGCUGUCCGAGUUGUAAUCUAGAGAAGUGUUUUCCGCGCUGGACCGUGUAUAAGUCUCCUGGAAGGGAGCGUCAUAGAGGGUGAGAAUCCCGUCUUUGACACGGACCNNNNAGUGCUAUGUGAUGCGCUCUCGACGAGUCGAGUUGUUUGGGAAUGCAGCUCAAAACGGGUGGUAAACUCCAUCUAAAGCUAAAUACAGGCGAGAGACCGAUAGCGAACAAGUACCGUGAGGGAAAGAUGAAAAGAACUUUGGAAAGAGAGUUAAACAGUACGUGAAAUUGCUGAAAGGGAAACGCUUGAUGUCAGUCGCGUUGGCUGGGGAUCAACCUUGCUUCUCGCUGGGUGUACUUCCCGGUCGACGGGUCAGCAUCAGUUUCGAUUGCUGUACAAGGAUGAGGGGAACGUGGCACUCCCCGGAGUGUGUUAUAGCCUUUCAUCGUAUGCAGCGGUUGGGACUGAGGAGCUCAGCACGGCUUCUCGCUUGUGCUCAGGAUGCUGGCAUAAUGGCCUUAAGCGACCCGUCUUGAAACACGG
rnacentral:rRNA from 1 species